CUACCUUGUGUCAAGUGUUGGCUGAGAAUAAAAACCCAGAUAUAACUCUCCUCCCGGGACCUCUCCCCUGCAAUCCUGCAACGUGUCACUGCUUGCCUUUCUUCCAUCUCUGACUGGAGGUCCUCCCACUUUCUGAAACUAAAUCUCUCUAAAACUGAGCUCCUUGUCUUUCCUCCUCCUAAUACUGAUCCUCCUCUUUCACUCUCCC